AUGGCAGCUUGGGCGGCGGAUGGACCUCGCCGGCGUCGAGGUAGAGCACCUCCUCUUCUCUCUGGUGGCUUGGACGGCGGAUUGACCUCGCCGGUGUUGAGCCCAAUCUGGAUCUCGGCCACGACCAGGGUAAGCACCUGCACGCGCACAUCAUCCCCUUGGCUAAUCUCCGGUGUUGCUGAUCCUCUUCCGUCUGCUCAUCGUCGCCACUCAAGGACCGUUGCUUGCCGCCGCCUUGUGUUGCUGCUCGCCGCCGCCCUGUGUUGUUGCUCGCUGCCGCCCUGUGUUGUUGCUCGCCGCGGCCUCAUCCUGCUGCCGGGGCGUUGCAGUGGCGGCCGGAGUGUUGCCUCGCUCGCAAGAGUGUGCGCCGCACCGAGGGCGAUGCCGAACUGGACAACGAACAUCAGUCGCAGUUGCGAGCGGCGGCGGCAGCAGCGAGCGCGGGGUGACAGGCGGCGAGCGGCAGGGAGUGCGGGUCAACGGGCGGCGGUGGUGGGCGGCAGGGAGUGCGGGGCCCCGUGCGGCGGUGGCGGGCGGCAGGGACUGCGGGGCGACGUGAGUGGCGGGCUGCCGGAUGCUUGA
rnacentral:rRNA from 1 species